rnacentral:rRNA from 1 species
AUUGAACGCUGGCGGAAUGCUUUACACAUGCAAGUCGAGCGGCAGCACGGGGGCAACCCUGGUGGCGAGCGGCGAACGGGUGAGUAACACAUCGGAACGUACCCUGUCGUGGGGGAUAACGAGUCGAAAGAUUCGCUAAUACCGCAUACGACCCGAGGGUGAAAGCGGGGGAUCGCAAGACCUCGCGCGACUGGAGCGGCCGAUGGCGGAUUAGCUAGUUGGUGGGGUAAAGGCCCACCAAGGCGACGAUCCGUAGCGGGUCUGAGAGGACGGCCCGCCACACUGGGACUGAGACACGGCCCAGACUCCUACGGGAGGCAGCAGUGGGGAAUUUUGGACAAUGGGGGCAACCCUGAUCCAGCCAUUCCGCGUGAGUGAAGAAGGCCUU